GAUGAACGCUGGCGGCGUGCCUAAUACAUGCAAGUCGAGCGAACAGACGAGGAGCUUGCUCCUCUGACGUUAGCGGCGGACGGGUGAGUAACACGUGGAUAACCUACCUAUAAGACUGGGAUAACUUCGGGAAACCGGAGCUAAUACCGGAUAAUAUAUUGAACCGCAUGGUUCAAUAGUGAAAGACGGUUUUGCUGUUACUUAUAGCUGGAUCCGCGUCGCAUUAGCUAGUUGGUAAGGUAACGGCUUACCAAGGCAACGAUGCGUAGCCGACCUGAGAGGGUGAUCGGCCACACUGGAACUGAGACACGGUCCAGACUCCUACGGGAGGCAGCAGUAGGGAAUCUUGCGCAAUGGGCGAAAGCCUGACGGAGCAACGCCGCGUGAGUGAUGAAGGUCUUCGGAUCGUAAAACUCUGUUAUUGGGGAAGAACAAAUGUGUAAGUAACUAUGCACGUCUUGACGGUACCUAAACAGAAAGCCACGGCUAACUACGUG
rnacentral:rRNA from 1 species